rnacentral:rRNA from 1 species
UACCAGCCCCCUGAGUGGUAAGGACGAUUAUUUGGCCUAAAGCGUCCGUAGCCGGCUUAUCAAGUCUUUUGUUAAAUCCAACGAUUCAAUCGUUGGGCCGCAAAAGAUACUGUUAUGCUAGAGGACGGGAGAGGUCGACGGUAGUCCAGGGGUAGGGGUGAAAUCCUAUAAUCCUUGGAGGACCACCAGUGGCGAAGGCGGUCGACUAGAACGUGCCUGACGGUGAGGGACGAAAGCUGGGGGAGCGAACCGGAUUAGAUACCCUCGUA